UGACCUAAUACAUGCAAGUCGAACGCAUUUGUGGUUGAAAUGAUAUAGAAGUAACUUGUUCAGAUUUGAUUUUCAACAUUGCAAUGAGUGGCGAACGGGUGAGUAACACGUGGAACCUACCUCUUAGCAGGGAUAACAUUUGGAAACAAUGCUAAUACCGUAUGAUAAUUAAACGCAUGGUUUAGUUUAAAGAUGGUCUUGCUAUCACUAAGAGAUGGUCCCGCGGUGUAUUAGUUAGUUGGUGAGGUAAUGGCUCACCAAGACAAUGAUACAUAGCCGAGUUGAGAGACUGACCGGCCACAAUGGGUCUGAGACACGGCCCAUACUCCUACGGGAGGCAGCAGUAGGGAAUCUUCCACAAUGGACGAAAGUCUGAUGGAGCAACGCCGCGUGUGUGAUGAAGGGUUUCGGCUCGUAAAACACUGUUGUAAGAGAAGAAUGACAUUGAGAGUAACUGUUCAAUGUGUGACGGUAUCUUACCAGAAAGGAACGGCUAAAUACGUG
rnacentral:rRNA from 1 species